rnacentral:sRNA from 1 species
AUGAAUGACAUUCCUCCGACAGCCGCAAAUAUG